AUUGACCUCAAAUCAGGUAGGGCUACCCGC
rnacentral:rRNA from 4 species